rnacentral:rRNA from 1 species
UACGUAGGGGGCAAGCGUUGUCCGGAUUUACUGGGUGUAAAGGGCGUGUAGCCGGGCUGACAAGUCAGAUGUGAAAUCCGGGGGCUCAACCCCCGAACUGCAUUUGAAACUGUUGGUCUUGAGUAUCGGAGAGGCAGGCGGAAUUCCUAGUGUAGCGGUGAAAUGCGUAGAUAUUAGGAGGAACACCAGUGGCGAAGGCGGCCUGCUGGACGACAACUGACGGUGAGGCGCGAAAGCGUGGGGAGCAAACAGG